GUAGGUGAACCUGCGGAAGGAUCAUUAACAAAUUCAAACACACUUGUUUCCCUCCAAAGAAGGUGAAAUCCUGACUUGGAGGUGUAUACAACAACACACACACCAUUGAUUGACAACACAAAGAUAGCAUACACUAUUAAUUGUAGACAACUUUUAACAAUGGAUCUCUUGGCUCUUGCAUCGAUGAAGAACGCAGCAUCUGACUGACUGGAAGCUUG
rnacentral:misc_RNA from 1 species